rnacentral:rRNA from 1 species
UGCAGUCGACGGAACAUGUCUAGCUUGCUAGAUGAUGUCGAGUGGCGGACGGGUGAGUAAUACUUAGGAACAUGCCUUUGGGUGGGGGAUAACUAUUGGAAACGAUAGCUAAUACCGCAUGACGUCUACGGACCAAAGGGGGCUUCGGCUCCCGCCCAGAGAAUGGCCUAAGCGAGAUUAGCUUGUUGGUGAGGUAAAGGCUCACCAAGGCGACGAUCUCUAGCUGUUCUGAGAGGAAGAUCAGCCACACUGGAACUGAGACACGGUCCAGACUCCUACGGGAGGCAGCAGUGGGGAAUAUUGCACAAUGGGGGAAACCCUGAUGCAGCCAUGCCGCGUGUGUGAAGAAGGCCUUCGGGUUGUAAAGCACUUUCAGUUGUGAGGAAAGGUUUGCGGUUAAUACCCGUAAGCUGUGACGUUAGCAACAGAAGAAGCACCGGCUAACUCCGUGCCAGCAGCCGCGGUAAUACGGAGGGUGCGAGCGUUAAUCGGAAUUACUGGGCGUAAAGCGCACGCAGGCGGUUUGUUAAGCUAGAUGUGAAAGCCCCGGGCUCAACCUGGGAAUUGUAUUUAGAACUGGCAGGCUAGAGUCUUGGAGAGGGGGGUGGAAUUUCUGGUGUAGCGGUGAAAUGCGUAGAUAUCAGAAGGAACAUCAGUGGCGAACGCGACUCUCUGGCCAAAGACUGACGCUCAUGUGCGA